GAUGAACGCUGGCGGCGUGCCUAAUACAUGCAAGUCGAGCGAACAGACGAGGAGCUUGCUCCUCUGACGUUAGCGGCGGACGGGUGAGUAACACGUGGAUAACCUACCUAUAAGACUGGGAUAACUUCGGGAAACCGGAGCUAAUACCGGAUAAUAUAUUGAACCGCAUGGUUCAAUAGUGAAAGACGGUUUUGCUGUCACUUAUAGAUGGAUCCGCGCCGCAUUAGCUAGUUGGUAAGGUAACGGCUUACCAAGGCAACGAGGCGUAGCCGACGUGAGAGGGUGAUAGGCCACACUGGAACUGGAACACGGUCCAGGCUCCUACGGGAGGCAGCAGUAGGGAAUCUUCCGCAAUGGGCGAAAGCCUGACGGAGCAACGCCGCGUGAGUGAUGAAGGUCUUCGGAUCGUAAAACUCUGUUAUUAGGGAAGAACAAAUGUGUAAGUAACUAUGCACGUCUUGACGGUACCUAAUCAGAAAGCCACGGCUAACUACGUG
rnacentral:rRNA from 1 species